rnacentral:lncRNA from 1 species
UAAGUGAGGGUAAUAUCAGGUUGUGGCCAAUGUUUCAAUAAGGGGACUUCAAAGACAGACUGAAACAUUGGCUCCAGCUUGAAAUAUCUCUUUUUGUGCCUUCGUUGGUCAUUUGAAAUAUCUCAUACUGUGAUACUCUUGAUUGAUUGAAAGGCAUUGGUGAUUUGAUCACUCAGUUUUGGCUUGCAUACAAGUCUAGUUCAUAAAUCAUGUUAAACUUCUUUCCAGGUUUCUGCUGACAGACUGCAUAUUGAAGCUCUUCAGUGCACCCAGAUGCAUCCAUAUUUCCUGCAAAGCUGUCAAGGGGAUUCCUUUGUUGUUGUUUAGAUUGUGUUUAUCAGGGAUCAGCGGUAGAUGCUGUUACAUUUUUGUGUGAAAGAAAUAUCCAGGUGCAUGUUUUGUGUCAUGCUUAACAUGUGCAUACUCUCGCCAUUUCUUUCCCACUUGUCGACAAGGCCUCAUUCCCGAGCAGUACAUGUGUGUUAAAGUGUCGAGGUAAUAGUAAGCAACAAAGGGCAAUGUAGAAAGCUUAUUCUCUGCUUGUCAAUGUUAUGAAGUGGCCCACUCUGGAGUGGCAGUUGUGUUUGUGCAGGUUUGUGCAAAAUAACCUAUGCAUUAUUUUUACUGUUUAAUGAUUUCUGAAACUCUCGAAUUGUAUUCCUGAUUGUGAGCUGUGAAACCUCUUGGCUUAAGAGCACUGUGACUUCUUGUGUCACAAUGUGGGUUACCAACCGGCCUCAAUUUAGUGGGGAACUCCAGACUUUUAAGUAAAAGUCCAUAUUCCAGACUUGACAUGGUUGCGAUGGCCAAAUGUCUUGACUUAUGCUUUUUUUCUUCUACUGAAUAACAUUCACUAAACCAUGUUAUCUUUCGAUAAUGCCUGGCAACUUGGUAGUGCAUUAUUCUCUUUUGUCUUUUGUUACAUUGUCAUAAACCCUGAAGUGUUUUUGUUUUUGUUGCGAUUCUACUUUUGUUGUAGGUGUCAACUGUCCACAGUACCGCUACCUGUAUUUUCAACUGUGCUAGCCAGGCAACCUUCUUGUAAAUGGUGACAUCAUAGGACUGAAAAUAUUUGUGCAAAUUUAUUGCAUUUAAAGACUAGUGGCUUCUGGCACCGACAGGCUCAGUCGUGCCGGGAGCCGCCAGUCGGUUUUAAGAUAUGCUCUAUGGUUAGGUAUUAUGCACAACUGAAACUGAAGCUACCAUGAUGGUGUGGCUGCCCUAGUUGCAUUAGGAAUGUUCACUUGAUCAUUUCUAAUGCAUCCAGAAACGUCACUAUAGCAUAGUUGUCUUCAUACAGAGAAAUUCGCCAUCUCAUAGUUUCUUUGCAUGCUGUUGCUCUAUGAACCAUAGGCAAUCUGCAGUGCAAUUAUGGUUGCGCACGUAGCUGUCUGUGCUAGCACAAAGAUGUUUUUUUCAAAUGUACUUUGUAAGCAAGGCUUUAUCCCGGGUAAGCUGAGCUCGGUGUAUAGAAGUGAACGGUAUAUUGACGCCUUCAUGAAACAAUUCAUUGGUGGCAGCGAGACUAACACACCCUAUUUAUUCUUUCCAGUUUUCUCUUCUAAAGCUUCCUCCCGGGCAUCAGCUGAAAUAGUUCAGUGCAAGGCGGAGCCGCCGCAGGUGCCAUUGGUCAUCGUCCCCGACGAAGACACUCUGGAUGCACUGGAUGAUUCCACUCAGUCCUGCAGUGAUGAGUACAUCGAGGGCGCUGUAGAUGCAGCAGACUGCAAUGCCCUGUCCUUGCCUGGGCAACACAAAUGCUUUGUUUGCCUCCGCACGUAUUUUAGCGCAGUGCUCUUGGAUAGGCACAAGUGUCCUGGCAGGCCAGAAAAGAGGUUUACAUGUCACAUCUGCUUCCGCGAGCUGAACAGGGAGGGUCACCUGGCGGCCCACAUGCGCGUACACACGGGUGAGAAGCCAUUUAAGUGCACCGUCUGCUCGCGCGCCUUCCGGCAGAAGUCUAACCUGACCGUCCACAUGCGCCAGCAUACGACAGGGGGCCCGUUCCAUUGUGCUGCCUGCCCAAGGUCGUUCACUCGGAAGGAAUAUUUGCAGACUCACAUGCAGCGUUACCACAUGCUGUGAAGGCAUUUCACAGCCGUCGCCGUCGGCCAGAAAUGAAACACGAUCAAAAUUGUCUUGUGACUUGUGGCACCAUGCCAUCUGCUGGCAACAUCUUUCAGCUGGCGUUUGGUUGCUCGUAGCUGGGCCAUGAACUUGACCAAAAAGCUAAAGGUAAAAUGAUCCUUUUGUUCAUAGGAGUCUUUGCAUCAAAUAAAGCUUUGGUUUAUGAGAAGCAAACUUUAUAUCUGAAGAAAACAAAACAAAUGAGGCCAGCAUCUCCAGGGUAUAACUUUCAUAUUCGGAAGUGCAUCUUAACUUGAAGCCCAUGCAUGACUUGAUCUAAACAUCUGGCAUUGACAGGUCCAAGACAUUGCGUUUCCUUCGGCUCAUUCACUAUAGGCAUCAUUUAGGUCAAGUCUAGCUUGGGCUUCAAGUUAAGAUGCAUUCUUGAAUAUGGCAUAAGACUUGCUAGUGUCACGGCUCGUUAGCACAAAGGACAAACAGCACUGGCAGGAAGUAGAUCAAAGCGUAAUACAGAAACAAAUGCACAGCGGGAACGUGCUUUUGAGCAACAGUAUCAAGAUUGGGCAUAUCUCAAAUGGCAGCAGUGCUGUGAAUACAGUCUGGAUGUUCUUGUAUCAAAUAGUGCUGUUAAUUUCGGGCACAGUCUUUGAUGUCAUUUGGCUCCCAAUUCCUUCCUUUUGCGUUUUAUAAUUGUGUAACCACAGCAGUAUUGGUACAACUGCUCUGCCAAUUGCUGGACAGGUGUAAACAAUGGUUGCUUGAAGCAUGCGAACUGAGCAAGUUGUGGCACGUAGUGUAGGAAGCACCUGCUGCUGCAACGCAUGAGUUGCAAAUAGUUCGUCUAAGUGAAAGAGAAUAUAAAAAGAAGCUUCCGGAUUGUUCUCACAGCCCCCUAUAAGAUCAUGUGAAGUCAUGGGCCACAGUUCAUAGUAAUGGCAGCUCGAGGGCUGUUACUCUUGCAAGAUAUAUUCAUCGUAACAUUAAAAGAAAACACUGUCCAGCAAUUAGAAACUAUUCACUUUGGCUUGUAUAUAGACACAGUGGUCAAUGUUUCCAUGUUCAAGUUUCACCGCGAAGGCAGGAAGAUGUAGACAUGUUGAGCAGGAUCCACAUGGCUGUGUUUUGAAAUAUAUUGGGCGACAUGGCAGUAGAGGCUCCCAGUGAAUGACUGCACACUGCUGCAUGUUUUGUUUAAUGCAAGAAGGUAUCACACCAGGACACUGUCUCCACUGCUGAAGUUGAUAGCCUUAUUUGACUGCAGCCUGUAUAUCACUGGCAGUAGUGCAGUUCUUGUGGCAUCACUAACUGCGAGGCAAAAGAUGGAGAAAGCAGGCAAUAGGAUCAGUCCACAUUUUGUUGCCUUUGCUUUUCGCAUUGAAUGCAUUGCAUCACAGUUGCUCCAAAAUUGAGCAUGCUGCAUCACCUAAAUGUUCUGCUUUUGUUUAACUUCAUUGUUUGUUGUCCUAAACUCCUUUGGCAACUGUGCCAGAUUAUCCUGCUCACAUAUUCAUGUCCCAUCACAGGCUGCCAUGUAGUAAUAUAUAUCCUGCAAGUUGUCAUGUGCUGCAAUGAUGCAAGUUUUAUUUUUGGCCCAUUGUUGGAUGUACGGUGAAGUGGGCGUUCUCAUGAUUAAUGGGUGCUAAGACAUUCUUCCCAAAAAUGUAAGGGCAUAAAGUUCUGAAGAAGCCAGGUCAUAUUGGGCUUUUUAUUCACUUCCUAAUAUUGACAUCUUCAACGCAUGUUCAGGGAUGUUAAAAUGGCAGCAGAUAGCUAGCACAAUUUCGCAAACUGCCUCUGGCAAUAAUCAGCAGUUCCUUUAUUGCCCAACUCAAGUAACUUGUUAAGGCUCUGUUGACAUGCUGGUCCAUGAAACAAUUUCUUUUCCCACUUUUGUAAUUUGGGGUAAUGUUGUGCUACUCUAGAAACAUAUGAGAAUAAGACUAGAGGAGGCUGCCAAUUAAGUUUAAUAUGCAUGUAUUGCUGAUUGGGUUGCAAGAAUGCGUGGUUCUCACAAAGAUUCGCUGGACAUAGCAAUUCACAAAGAUGCUAUAUAAUAUAGCAUUUCACAGAGUUACUGUAUUUUCAUUUGAAGCAGCAGGUCAUGGUGCAGUUACAAGCUUAUUCUAAAACAAAAAUCCACGAGUGAUGCGUUCAUUAACUUUUGUAAUGAACUCGUGACGUGCGGUGCACUUUUUGGCACACCGUGAUAGCUUAUGCCAGAAAAUGCAGUACCGCUUUAGUGGCAGGAUUGUACAGUUCCUUAGCAGUUCUUCAUGUGUGAAUUCAAGAAACAGAUCAAACUCUCAUUUUGUGCAGAUUUAUGCAAACUCCAGUCAGGUUGGGAAACUGGUGAGGUGGGUGAACUUGCCUUCAAAGGUGAAAGUUGACACAUGGUUAGCAGAGACGGCAUCAACACAGUUGCACCUCAGAGCUAAAUCAGCAGCAUGUGUGUGUGGAUAUGCAUAGCCGUUUUGUCAUAGAAUGUAACCAAUGCAAAUUCAUGGGUCAAAAUUCAGAGGAGCCUAGAAACUGUAACAAGUCUGCAUUCACACUAUGGCCUCUAAGACUGUAACAUAGUGCCACGUCAUCUCAGAGAUGGAAGUUUUCAUUUCACUGUCGUGCUGCCAUUUUGGAUAUUGUGUGCUAAUUCCACUCGUGACUCGCUAUUAUCAUGCUCAUGAAAACACGGAUGAGGUCCAGAUAUGACCUUGCCUUGCUGUAAGGCUGACCCGACCGACAGCUGCUGAAAAUAUAUGGACAAAUGCUGUGACGCCCCAGUGAAUAAACCGAGUGUAUGACAAUUCUACUGGCAGACAAGCUUGACAUUUUUGGAGCAUGGGGACUAAGAGGCCUGAUUUCUGCAGUAGGUUGCACCGAAUGCCACCAGAUGCUGCCAUACAAAACACAAAUAGGCAGGCAGUCUUAGUGAACUUUGGCUUCACUAAAAGACAUGACAGUCAAGUGCUAGUCAGUACGCAUGGCAACAAUCACGUAUGCCUUCAAAUUCAAACCAGCUUCUGUGUGUUGCAGUGCCUGCUGUGACAGUACUCAUGACAUGGGCAAUAGGCUAAGCUAAACUAACACGUUCAGCAGGGAAUUGACCUUGCAGGUAUUUAUCAACAUGUCUCUAUAGUCCACUUCACAUGCUGUGUAUUUUUGAUGGAAGUUCCUCUAGUCGUAUAUACAGAUAUAGCAAUGGCACAUAUUGACUUCGAUGUCUUAGAUUUUUGCAUAAGUGUAUGGAGAAAUAUUUGUGUUACUUCAGUGGUGGCAGCGAUUGUAAAUUUUGUGUAAUAUAGCAACCAUGGUACCAUUAAGCAACCAUGAAAUAGUGCUGGCAAAAAGAAAAAAAACUUCCUCUUAAGAACGGCAGUUGCCGUAGUGCAGUACACCAGUGUAUUGAGCCUUGUGCUUUUGGCAUUGUUAUGCUUGUGCCCCCUUUUUAAUUAUUUCUUUUCAAUUGAUCUGCAUAACCGAAUUGCAUUGGUUGCUAUCAUUGUAAGCAACUCGUGAAGAUCUUUUGCAUUCUCAUGGCAAAUAAGUAACCAGCUGGGCUCCUGUUGUCUGUUUCCGAGCUAAUGAAAGCUCUUUAUUUUAGAAGUGGUGGGGGGGAGGCUUGGCUUGUCCCGGCUUUGAAUAGUUUUCUGCACUUGCAAAUAGGGAGUAAAACAGUAGUCUGAUUAGCCAGUGCUCCCUCCUGUGUUCUUUCAUUGAUAUAUUGUUGAUGCUGUUUCGUUACAAUAAAGUAAGAAAUUACUGUU